ensembl:lncRNA
CCGUGCAGCAGCGAGGCUCGGCGUUUAUUUCGCUUCCCCAGACUGGGAACCACUACAGCAGUGGGACUGGACGUCUAGCGACACGACCGCGGGCAGACGCGUCAGUGACAGGUAGGCGCUGCCUCGGACGACUCUUUCCCCGCCACAGCCAUAUGAAAGCAGUUGGAUUUGUGGAGAAAGUCAAACUACAACAUCGCCAGUGAAGGAUGAGAAGUUCAUGCUGAAACAUGUAAAAAUCAGGUGAGGGGGGCGGGUUGAACUUAUAGUAAGUCUCCACAGAGGGAGGAUGACUGCGUGUCCGUCUCCAUUACGGCCUGCACCCCUCCGGUUAGCCUCCGCUGGUCGCGCUGGAUGGCUCGCCGAUCGCCGAUCAUCUGGCCCAGCGCCAUGAUCGGUUGGGCCGGUAUCUCCUGCCGGUGAUCGUCGUCUGUCCUCGUCCUCCCCUAAACCCUCGUUGGGGUUGUAUUUUUAAGAACUUUUAACCCUGCUUUGAAAGGUGCUUUACAAAUGAGUUAUUAUUAUUAUUACUAUACAGUGCAUCCGGAAAGUAUUCACAGCGCUUCACUUUUUC